rnacentral:rRNA from 1 species
UACGGGGGGGGUAAGCGUUGUUCGGAAUUACUGGGCGUAAAGGGCUCGUAGGCGGCCAACUAAGUCGGACGUGAAAUCCCUCAGCUUAACUGGGGAACUGCGUCCGAUACUGGAUGGCUUGGAUUUGGGAGAGGGAUGCAGAAUUCCAGGUGUAGCGGUGAAAUGCGUAGAUAUCUGGAGGAACACCGGUGGCGAAGGCGGCAUCCUGGACCAAUAUUGACGCUGAGGAGCGAAAGCCAGGGGAGCAAACGGG